rnacentral:rRNA from 1 species
UACAGAGGUCUCAAGCGUUGUUCGGAUUCAUUGGGCGUAAAGGGUGCGUAGGUGGCGCCGUAAGUGGGGUGUGAAAUCUCGGGGCUUAACUCCGAAACUGCAUUCCAUACUGCGGUGCUUGAGGACUGGGGAGGAGACUGGAAUUCAUGGUGCAGCAGUGAAAUGCGUAGAGAUCAUGAGGAAGACCAGUGGCGAAGGCGGGUCUCUGGACAGUUCCUGACACUGAGGCACGAAGGCCAGGGGAG